rnacentral:rRNA from 1 species
UUUUUAUGAGAGUUUGAUCCUGGCUCAGGACGAACGCUGGCGGCGUGCCUAAUACAUGCAAGUCGAACGCUUCUUUUUCCACCGGAGCUUGCUCCACCGGAAAAAGAGGAGUGGCGAACGGGUGAGUAACACGUGGGUAACCUGCCCAUCAGAAGGGGAUAACACUUGGAAACAGGUGCUAAUACCGUAUAACAAUCGAAACCGCAU